GACGAACGCUGGCGGCGUGCUUAACACAUGCAAGUCGAGCGGAGCGGCGGACGGGUGCGUAUCACGUGAGUAACUUCCCCCCUCUCUGGGAUAACAGUUGGCAUCGGCUGCUAAUACUGGAUAGUGGGGGAUGACUCGCGUCAUAUCAGCUUGUUGUUGGGGUAGUGGCCUACCAAGGCGACGACGGGUAGCCGGCCUGGGAGGGGGACCGGCCAAAGUGGGCUGGGGUACGGCCCAGACUCCUACGGGGGGCAGCAGGGGGGAAUAUUGCACAAUGGGGGAAACCAUGAAGCAGCAUCGCCGCGUGCGGGAUGGCGGCCUUCGGGUUGUAAACUGCUUUCAGCAAGGACGCGGGAGUGGUAGAAGAAGCACCGGCUAACUACGUGCCAGCCGCCGCGGUAAUAC
rnacentral:rRNA from 1 species